rnacentral:rRNA from 1 species
AAGACCCCRUGAAGCUUUAUCUUAAUUGGAGCUUUCAGGCUCUUAUACGAUUUUGAUGGGAGAUCAGUAGAAAUAAAUCUUCUACUAUUAUAUUAAUCUUACUAGUAUUUCCUAACUUUAUAUGUGUGGCUAGCUACUCUAGGGAUAACAGCGCAAUUUCUCCCGAAAGAUGGUAUUGGAGGGGAAGAUUGCCACCUCGAUGUU